UACGUAGGCAGCGAGCGUUGUUCGGAGUUACUGGGCGUAAAGCGCACGUAGGCGGCUUUGUAAGUUAGAGGUGAAAGCCCGGGGCUCAACUCCGGAAUUGCCUUUAAGACUGCAUCGCUAGAAUUGUGGAGAGGUAAGUGGAAUUCCGAGUGUAGAGGUGAAAUUCGUAGAUAUUCGGAAGAACACCAGUGGCGAAGGCGACUUACUGGACACAUAUUGACGCUGAGGUGCGAAAGCGUGGGGAGCAAACAGG
rnacentral:rRNA from 1 species